GGGGCUAUGGUGUAACUUGGUAUCACUUAUGGUUUGGGACCAUACAAUCGGGGUUCAAAUCCUCGUAGCCCCA
rnacentral:tRNA from 1 species